UACGUAGGGAGCAAGCGUUGUCCGGAAUCAUUGGGCGUAAAGCGCGCGUAGGUGGCCAUGUAAGUCCGCUGUGAAAGUCAAAAGGCUCAACCUUUGAAAGCCUGGUGGAUACUGCAUGGCUAGAGUACGGAAGAGGCGAGUGGAAUUCCUGGUGUAGCGGUGGAAUGCGCAGAUAUCAGGAGGAACACCGGUGGCGAAGGCGGGUCUCUGGGCCGAUACUGACGCUGAGGAGCGAAAGCGUGGGGAGCGAACGGG
rnacentral:rRNA from 1 species